AGAGUUUGAUCAUGGCUCAGAAUCAACGCUGGCGGCGCGCCUAACACAUGCAAGUCGUACGAGAAAGCAGGAGCAAUCUUGUGAGUAAAGUGGCGUACGGGUGAGUAACACGUGGAUUAUCUACCCUCUGGUGGGGGAUAACCCUGGGAAACCGGGGCUAAUACCGCAUAAGCUCGAGAGAGGAAAGCAGCAAUGCGCAGGAGGAGGAGUCCGCGGCCGAUUAUUGCUAGUUGGUAGGGUAAAGGCCUACCAAGGCUAAGAUCGGUAGCCGGCCUGAGAGGGCACACGGCCACACUGGCACUGAAACACGGGCCAGACUCCUACGGGAGGCAGCAGUGGGGAAUCUUGCACAAUGGGGGAAACCCUGAUGCAGCGACGCCGCGUGAACGAUGAAGCCCCUCGGGGUGUAAAGUUCUUUCGGCAGGGAAGAUGAUGACGGUACCUGCAGAAGCAGCUGCGGCUAACUACGUGCCAGCAGCCGCGGUAAUACGUAGGCAGCAAGCGUUGUUCGGAGUUACUGGGCGUAAAGGGUGUGUAGGCGGUUCUCUAAGUCUGGUGUGAAAUCUCCCGGCUCAACUGGGAGGGUGCGCCGAAAACUGGAGGGCUAGAGUGCGGGAUGGGAGAGUGGAAUUCCUGGUGUAGCGGUGAAAUGCGUAGAUAUCAGGAGGAACACCUGUGGUGUAGACGGCUCUCUGGACCGCAACUGACGCUGAGACACGAAAGCGUGGGUAGCAAACAGGAUUAGAUACCCUGGUAGUCCACGCCCUAAACGAUGCAUAUUUGGUGUGGGCCAUUCAUUUGGUCCGUGCCGGAGCUAACGCGUUAAAUAUGCCGCCUGGGGAGUACGGUCGCAAGGCUGAACUCAAGGAAUUGACGGGGCCCGCACAGCGGUGGAGCAUGUGGUUCAUUCGACGCACGCGAGACUACUGGGCUCGACGCUCACGAAGUCUUUGGAAACAGAGAUUCCCGCAAGGGACGGGAGUCGAGGGUGCUGCA
rnacentral:rRNA from 1 species